rnacentral:rRNA from 1 species
UACGUAGGGCGCAAGCGUUGUCCGGAAUUAUUGGGCGUAAAGAGCUCGUAGGCGGUUCGUCACGUCGGGAGUGAAAACUCGGAGCUUAACUCCGAGCCUGCUUCCGAUACGGGCAGACUAGAGUGCGGUAGGGGAGACUGGAAUUCCUGGUGUAGCGGUGAAAUGCGCAGAUAUCAGGAGGAACACCGGUGGCGAAGGCGGGUCUCUGGGCCGUAACUGACGCUGAGGAGCGAAAGCAUGGGGAGCGAAUAGG